rnacentral:rRNA from 1 species
AACGAACGCUGGCGGCAUGCCUAACACAUGCAAGUCGAACGAGACCUUCGGGUCUAGUGGCGCACGGGUGCGUAACACGUGGGAAUCUGCCCUUUGCUUCGGAAUAACAGUUAGAAAUGACUGCUAAUACCGGAUGAUGUCGAAAGACCAAAGAUUUAUCGGCAAAGUUUGAGCCCGCGUGGGAUUCGGUAGUUGGUAGGGUAAAGGCCUACCAAGCCGACGAUCCUUAGCUGGUCUGUGAGGAUGGUCAGCGACACUGGGACUGAGACACGGCCCAGACUCCUACGGGAGGCGGCAAUGGGGAAUAUUGGACAAUGGGCGAAAGCCUGAUCCAGCAAGGCCGCGUGAGUGAUGAAGGCCGUAGGGUUGUAAAGCUCUUUUACCAGGGAUGAUAAUGACAGUACCUGGAGAAUAAGCUCCGGCUAACUCCGUG